GAGUGCCGCCUGCAACAAAAUCACUGAUGCUGGAGCUUCUAUGUCCCACUCAUUCAGCAUCAGGAUAUUGUUCCAGGGGACA
rnacentral:pre_miRNA from 1 species